AUUGAACGCUGGCGGAAUGCUUUACACAUGCAAGUCGAACGGCAGCACGGACUUCGGUCUGGUGGCGAGUGGCGAACGGGUGAGUAAUGUAUCGGAACGUGCCCAGUCGUGGGGGAUAACGUAGUGAAAAUUACGCUAAUACCGCAUACGAUCUAUGGAUGAAAGCGGGGGAUCGCAAGACCUCGCGCGAUUGGAGCGGCCGAUAUCAGAUUAGGUAGUUGGUGGGGUAAAGGGCCACCAAGCCAACGAUCUGUAGCUGGUCUGAGAGGACGACCAGCCACACUGGGACUGAGACACGGUCCAGAAUCCUACGGGAGGCAGCAGUGGGGAAUUUUGGACAAUGGGCGAAAGCCUGAUCCAGCCAUUCCGCGUGCAGGAUGAAGGCCCUCGGGUUGUAAACUGCUUUUGUACGGAACGAAAAGGUUUCUACUAAUACUAGGAGCUCAUGACGGUACUGUAAGAAUAAGCACCGGCUAACUACGUGCCAGCCGCCGCGGUAA
rnacentral:rRNA from 1 species